rnacentral:rRNA from 1 species
GACGUAGGGCGCGAGCGUUGUCCGGAUUUAUUGGGCGUAAAGAGCUCGUAGGCGGCUCGUUGCGUCGGCUGUGAAAAACCCGCAGCUCAACUGUGGGCUUGCAGCUGAUACGGGCGGGCUGGAGUUCGGUGAGGGGAGACUGGAAUUCCUGGUGUAGCGGUGAAAUGACGCAGAUAUCAGGAGGAACACCGGUGGCGAAGGCGGGUCUCUGGGCCGAUACUGACGCUGAGGAGCGAAAGCGUGGGGAGCGAACAGG